rfam:Schistosoma margrebowiei strain Zambia genome assembly, scaffold: SMRZ_contig0009117
ACCCAGCUGACGAGUCCCAAAUAGGACAAAACACGCGCCCUGGAU